AGCGAACGCUGGCGGCAGGCUUAACACAUGCAAGUCGAACGGUCCUUCGGGAUAGUGGCGGACGGGUGAGUAACACGUGGGAACGUACCCUUAGGUUCGGAACAACACAGGGAAACUUGUUCUAAUACCGGAUAAGCCCUUCGGUGGAAAGAUUUAUCGCCUUUGGAGCGGCCCGCGUCUGAUUAGCUUGUUGGUGAGGUAAUGGCUCACCAAGGCUACGAUCAGUAGCUGGUCUGAGAGGAGGGCCAGCCACACUGGGACUGAGACACGGCCCAGACUCCUACGGGAGGCAGCAGUGGGGAAUCUUGCGCAAUGGGCGAAAGCCUGACGCAGCCAUGCCGCGUGGAUGAUGAAGGUCUUAGGAUUGUAAAAUCCUUUCACCGGGGACGAUAAUGACGGUACCCGGAGAAGAAGCCCCGGCUAACUUCGUGCAGCAGCCGCAGUAA
rnacentral:rRNA from 1 species